rnacentral:rRNA from 1 species
GGGUUGUGAGGUUAAGCGACUAAGCGUACACGGUGGAUGCCCUGGCAGUCAGAGGCGAUGAAGGACGUGCUAAUCUGCGAUAAGCGCCGGUAAGGUGAUAUGAACCGUUAUAACCGGCGAUUUCCGAAUGGGGAAACCCAGUGUGAUUCGUCACACUAUCAUUAACUGAAUCCAUAGGUUAAUGAGGCGAACCGGGGGAACUGAAACAUC